rnacentral:rRNA from 1 species
AUGCAAUGUACUAUGCAAAGAAAUACUCCUGCAAGGGAAAAGAGCACGCACCUACGCACGAACGAAAACCAUCGAGUCCCUUGCACAGCGACAUCGAUCGACAAUCUUACGCGCACGCGUAGCUCUUUGACUGCCUAUCGUCGUCGCGAGCUCGUCAUGGGGACCGCAUCGUCGUCGCCGUCGUCGUCUUCUCCUGAGCAGUUGAUCGACGGGGCCGUCAAGACUGUCGUGUGCCUCGCCGGAUGCGGGGAUGAGUUCGACGGCUUUCAGGAGGCGUGCGGGGAGGUCGACGGGUCUGCGGAGACGCAAGCGGCGUGCUUCGAGGCGGGGGAGGCGCUGCGCAAGUGCAUGCGUGCUAACGCCGCCGCGUACGAGUCCUACGUCCGCGACGCGGAUAAGAAGAAGCAGCAGGGGAAAUCGAGCCAAGCCUAG